AGAGUUUGAUCAUGGCUCAGAACGAACGCUGGCGGCGUGCUUAACACAUGCAAGUCGAGUGCGCGGUUGUAGCAAUACAACUGGCGCACGGCGCACGGGUGCGUAACACGUGGGUAACCUGCCCUUUGGUGGGGAAUAACUCCGCGAAAGCGGAGCUAAUUCCGCAUAAGAUCCGCAAGGAUGAAAGCCGCAAGGCGCCGAAGGAGGGGCCCGCGCCCGAUUAGCUAGUUGGUAGGGUAACGGCCUACCAAGGCUUUGAUCGGUAGCUGGUCUGAGAGGAUGAUCAGCCACACUGGAACUGAGACACGGUCCAGACUCCUACGGGAGGCAGCAGUGGGGAAUCUUGCACAAUGGGCGAAAGCCUGAUGCAGCGACGCCGCGUGGGGGAUGAAGCAUUUCGGUGUGUAAACCCCUUUCGAUCCGGACGAAACCCCGCAAGGGAUUGACGGUACGGAUAUAAGAAGCCCCGGCUAACUACGUGCCAGCAGCCGCGGUAAGACGUAGGGGGCCAGCGUUGUUCGGAAUUACUGGGUGUAAAGGGUUCGUAGGCGGUGCGGCAAGUUGGGAGUGAAAUCUCUGGGCUUAACCCAGAGGCUGCUUCCAGAACUGCUGUGCUUGAGUGUGGGAGAGGCGCGUGGAAUUGCAGGUGUAGCGGUGAAAUGCGUAGAUAUCUGCAGGAACACCCGUGGCGAAAGCGGCGCGCUGGACCACUACUGACGCUGAGGAACGAAAGCUAGGGGAGCAAACAGGAUUAGAUACCCUAGUAGUCC
rnacentral:rRNA from 1 species